GUUCGAGACCAGCCUGACCAACAUGGAGAAACCCCAUCUCUACUAAAAAUACCAAAAAUUAGCCAGGCGUGGUGGUGCAUGCCUGUAAUCCCAGCUAGUCAGGAGGCUAAGGCAGGAGAAUUGCUUGAGCCCGGGAGAAGGAGGUUGCGGUGAACCGAGAUUGCGCCAUUGCGCUCCAGCCUGGGCAACAAGAGUGAAACUCUGUCCCAAAAACAAAACAAACAAACAAAAAGAAUGCUCAUUUCCUCCCUGGAUUCUCUCCCCAACCCCAGGAGGGAAGGAGGGAGGUCCCAGUGCCGCCGUGAAACCCUACACCUCCUUUUCCCAACCCAGUGAGCCAGUGGGGGCACCGUGACCCAGGAGUGGCUGU
rnacentral:lncRNA from 1 species